rnacentral:rRNA from 1 species
CACGUAGGCACCAAGCGUUGUCCGGAUUUAUUGGGCGUAAAGAGCUCGUAGGCGGUUCGGUAAGUCGGGUGUGAAAACUUUGGGCUCAACCCAAAGCCUGCACUCGAUACUGCUGUGACUUGAGUCCGGUAGGGGAGUGGGGAAUUCCUGGUGUAGCGGUGGAAUGCGCAGAUAUCAGGAGGAACACCGGUGGCGAAGGCGCCACUCUGGGCCGGUACUGACGCUGAGGAGCGAAAGCGUGGGGAGCGAACAGGAUUAGAUACCCUGGUAGUCCACGCCGUAAACGUUGGGCACUAGGUGUGGGCUCUUACCAACGGAGUCCGUGCCGUAGCUAACGCAUUAAGUGCCCCGCCUGGGGAGUACGGCCGCAAGGCUAAA